rnacentral:rRNA from 1 species
AGUGAACGCUGGCGGUAGGCCUAACACAUGCAAGUCGAACGGCAGCACAGGAGAGCUUGCUCUCUGGGUGGCGAGUGGCGGACGGGUGAGGAAUACAUCGGAAUCUACUCUGUCGUGGGGGAUAACGUAGGGAAACUUACGCUAAUACCGCAUACGACCUACGGGUGAAAGCAGGGGAUCUUCGGACCUUGCGCGAUUGAAUGCGCCGAUGUCGGAUUAGCUAGUUGGCGGGGUAAAGGCCCACCAAGGCGACGAUCCGUAGCUGGUCUGAGAGGAUGAUCAGCCACACUGGAACUGAGACACGGUCCAGACUCCUACGGGAGGCAGCAGUGGGGAAUAUUGGACAAUGGGCGCAAGCCUGAUCCAGCCAUACCGCGUGGGUGAAGAAGGCCUUCGGGUUGUAAAGCCCUUCUGUUGGGAAAGAAAUCCAGCUGGCUAAUACCCGGUUGGGAUGACGGUACCCAAAGAAUAAGCACCGGCUAACUUCGUGCCAGCCGCCGCGGUAA